UCCUUCUUCUUAAGCACUCUGCUAAAAUUACAAAAUUCAGGAAUCCUGCCUUUUGUGAUGAUGCUAGUAGAGUACACCAGGGAAGGAGAAAAAUUGCACAGUGUUGUGAGGCUAGGUUGGACAACUUGCAUGUCCAGUGGCCAUUUUCUUCAGACUGUGCUACAUUU